rnacentral:rRNA from 1 species
CCCUUAGAUGUUCUGGGCCGCACACGCGCUACACUUAAGGAGGCAGCGUGUACUCCUGGAUCGAAAGAUUUGGGUAACCCGCGAAUCUCCUUCGUGCUAGGGAUUGAGGUUUGCAAUUAUCCUUCAUGAACGAGGAAUUCCCAGUAAGUGCAAGUCAUAAGCUUGCGCUGACUACGUCCCUGCCCUUUGUACACACCGCCCGUCGCUACUACCGAUUGAAUGAUUUAGUGAGGACUUCGGACUGGGACCGAUGCGGCUUUCGGGCUGCGUCGGUAUUCUGGAAAGAUGUCCAAACUGUAUCAUUUAGAGGAAGUAAAAGUCGUAACA